rnacentral:rRNA from 1 species
AGUGAACGCUGGCGGUAGGCCUAACACAUGCAAGUCGAACGGCAGCACAGUAAUAGCUUGCUCUUACGGGUGGCGAGUGGCGGACGGGUGAGGAAUACCUCGGAAUCUACUUUUUCGUGGGGGAUAACGUAGGGAAACUUACGCUAAUACCGCAUACGACCUACGGGUGAAAGCAGUGGAUCUUCGGACCUUGCGCGAUUGAAUGAGCCGAUGUCGGAUUAGCUAGUUGGCGGGGUAAAGGCCCACCAAGGCGACGAUCCGUAGCUGGUCUGAGAGGAUGGUCAGCCACACUGGAACUGAGACACGGUACAGACUCCUACGGGAGGCAGCAGUGGGGAAUAUUGGACAAUGGGCGCAAGCCUGAUCCAGCCAUACCGCGUGUGUGAAGAAGGCCUUCGGGUUGUAAAGCCCUUUUGUUGGGAAAGAAAAGCAGCAGGUUAAUACCCCGCUGUUCUGACGGUACCCAAAGAAUAAGCACCGGCUAACUUCGUG